UAAAUUCAUACAAAAAUUCCUGAUAUUUUCCAGACUUGGUUUUAAAGCGAAACGAGAGGAUCUGACCCGAAUACAUCACCAAAGUCAUUGAAAUAAUCAUCUCCAGAAGGCCAGGAACCAAACCCGACAUCAGCACCGGAAUCGAUGAACAUGUUCACCGGGUCGGAUUCUUGAAACGGGCUACCCGACAAGGCUAUCGGUUCGAAAAUGUCGGGUAUGGAGUCCGAAAAAUCAAACAACUCAGAAGAAGAUAAAGGAUUGUCAAAACACUGAAAUCCAUUAAAUUUCUCAGCUUCAAAACCUUCGUUUACGACGUCGUUUUGAGUCGACUCAGCGGUUGACUCGUCCGUGGAAGCGGACGAGCACCUAAGAACCGAUUUCGGUGACGUCACUUUUUUGUCACUGUUCCAGUCUUCGCCGGAGUUGUAACAAGAAGACGCCGGCGAUGGUUUGUUUUCCGGUGCCGGUAACGGAACAGUGAAGUUUGUUAGCGCGUGUGGUCCACGUAGCUGAAUAGCCGCGUGGUCGUAUACCAUAGCAGCUUCUUCUGCUGUAUUGUAUGUACCAAGCCAUAACCGUACACGUCGUAACGGAUCUCUAAUCUCAGCCGCCCAUUUACCCCACGGUCGUUGCCUUACGCCUCGAAACUUUUUACCUGUGUUACUGUUCUUCGGUUUUGUUACCUUUGUUGUUUUUCUGGCCCCUUUAUUUCUCAACGACGUCGUUUUGGUUAUGUUUAUAGUUUGGUUAUUCGAACGGUUCUGGAUUGUGACCUCGUUAACAAACUUUCUGACUCUUGUACGUCCGGUGCACUCGUCGCCGGAGGAGUCGGUGGCGUAAGAGUCUGUUACUGAUAUUCUUACGACUCUGGGACCGCCGGAGAUGUUGACGGCGUCAGUUGUAGUUAACGAUUUGGUUAUGAGUGUGAUUGAAGAAAUUCGCAUGGGAGAAGGUGAGGUGGAAAAUGAAGAAUAAUAUGUUUUUAAAUGGUGGAAUGAAUAAUAAAAGGAAUAAAUUGAUAUGGUGGUUGACAGGUUGUACGGAAGUGGUGGGGGUGUGAUAUUCCGGUGAGAAAAAGGAGGAGGUCCGGUUUGAAAAGUUUCCGGCGACGGAGGAGAGAGAAAGUGAGGUUUAGUGGCGUGAGGAGUGAAGACGGAAAGGCUGCACCCAACUUGCUGUUUUAUAGGCUCAUAUCAGCGGGAAUUUUAUUUUUAUCUUUAUCAUUAUUUUUGUUAUUUUGUUUAGAUGAAUGUUUCUGUAUAUAUAUAUUU
rnacentral:lncRNA from 1 species